ensembl:snRNA U6 U6 spliceosomal RNA
UUACUUUUGCAGCACAUACACAAAAAUUGGAAUCCUACAGAGAAGAUUAGCAUGGCCGUUGUGCAAGAAGGACAUGCAAAUUCAUAAGGCGUUCCAUAUUUUU